CGGAGACUUGUUUUCAGGAAGACCAGACUUCCUGUGUGAUGGAGCAAUGGAUGAGAGGAGGAAGAGGGGGAUGGGAUAGACAGGAAAAGACAGACAGAGCGAGAUAGAUAGGGAUGAGGCAUCAGUCCAAAACACAUCGUGAUUUGGGGCAUUUUGUUUCUUUUUUCUUUUCCUGACAGACGGGCAGCUGUAAGGGAGUCCAAGCAACAAGAGAAGAGAAAAUUACAAUGCAGAUCUUUUGCUACGUUUCAUGCUUUUACCUUUUGUCUACUGCACCUGCAAAAAGUCUUGUCUCAUGUAAGGCAGCUUAGCAGGGAGUGGUCUGAUGAGCUACAAGGAUUUAUUCAAGGCAAUGAGUUCUCACGGGUACUAACAAGUUCGUUUUUUGGACUUGGAUUUGAACAUUGUGCACUCACAAAUCAAAAAAGCAAUAUUUGCCUUUCCCCCCUUUCUCCCUUUAAAAAUGAGAAACACUGAGUAAUGGGACAACCAGCAAAAGGACUGGAAACAAGAAGAGGUAAAGCUCCCAUUAACAGAAGGUAGGUUGCACUUCACCUUUGAUAGGCAGAAAAACAGCAUUUUCUCUUUGUGUAUCUGCAUCUAAUUUAUUAGCAUAAACAACCACGGAGAUUUGGCAUUAUGAUUUAAAUGAAAAUCUAAAGCUAUACAAAUAUGAAACUUUUUAAAUGGGCAUCAUCUCACCAUCAUCAUGACAGUUGUUUUCAGUUUUAUAGCUUUGGAAAUUUGUAUCCUUGGGUGCAGUCAGCUGACAUGUAAUGCUCAUGAUUUUCAGUUUUUUCUCUUUGUCUCUCUCAAUAUUUUCUUCUCACUUUCACUUUAUCAGCAUCCCCAACUCUCAGUUUUGUCUCAUCAUUGGCUUUUUCUGUGAAUCUUGCUCAUAAAGUCUCAGUACGAGUGAUUUAAUGACUGUGGCACAGGUGGAUGAGUGGGCUUUUGAUUGAUUUGUAGGGCAGGUGGUUCAAACCUGGGCUCCUUCGACAUGCAUGCACAAGUAUCCCUGAGUAAAAAGCUUAAAUGAAGAUGGGUGGUUUAUGGGAGCCACUGGCUGUGAAAGUGGAGUCCAUAUAACAUAUAAUGCUUUUCCUGAACAAAUCUGCAAUAGUUAGCUAAUUGCAUUUACCAGGCGAACCCUGCCACUAAGACUCAGGACCAACACCAGCUGUUUAUUUACAGCUUUAGCCAUAAGGUGUCUAACAUACACUUGAAUAUGUAAAUAUCCUUUAUGUUAAACAUGUGCCAUCACCUUGAAAAUUGUAACACUUGCUUUUUAUCAGACAUGGACUGUAAUAAAAUGUACUGCAGUUCUGGAUUUUACAAUUUUUCACAAUUUUUUGUUACAGAGCAAGAAUUUUUUUUCUCACCCCCCGUUUUUAGUGUCUCAUGAUGACAUACUACAAACAGCUUUAUGCAAAGUUUGCAAAUCUGUGACAAUAAGCAGUAAUUUUGACAUCUGCAGACGUUUGCACUUUCUGCACCACCGAAAAGUGCGAAGGUUUACCCGAAGCAGACUAUUUCCACAGUUUUUCUUUCCCAACAACAGACUUAUUUCCAUCAUGGUCCUGGCUUAUCCAGGUGCAUGCGUUAGAUGAUGGAUUUUUAUGAUGACUUUGCAGGAAGGCUCUCCGCAGUGCAGGUGAAACAAUGCGCUCCCUGCUCGUCUACAGCUUCCUGCACCUCCCGCAGGACCUUUGGCUAGUUUCCUUUUUCUUUUGGCCCUGGACACAUUUUUUCUUGAUGUCAUUUUACUUUGUCAUGAAGCCUAAUUUUCAGUUGUAGUUAGUUGUAGUAUAAUUCUUGAAUGUUACCAAAAGGUUUGAAGAGUCAGAGGGUUAAUCAAAUCUGGACUGAUCAGUUAAAUCACCCGCUAAAUGUACUAUUAAUCAUGUUUAUAUAUUUUAUUAAGCACUUUACAGUCUUGAUAUCAAAUCCUGACAUCAUUUAUCUGCUUUAUUUAUUUAUGAUGGCUCAUCAGGUUAGACUUGAUGUUCCACUGAUGCUAAACUAAAUCUUUAAGUCCACCACUAAUGCCUGCAAUGCUCGGCCUCUCAGACAUGAGUGAGAGAGGCACCCUGUUCGUCCUUCCGUCCAGGGAAAGUGGUCGCUCCUCCUCUUUUUGGGCUCAGUUACACCUUUGACUAUUUCUAUCUGACCAGCUGCGGUGUGGGCAUGUCAGAGACACUCUGAAAUUCAGCCAAGACCAGCCCUCCAAAAGUACUCUUAAACUCCACCCUCCAGGACUGCUCACCACCCUCUGUCUUUGGAACAGUUUAGUCUUGUGCUUCUGUUUUGGCACCUGUCUUUCAGCACUAAAUGUGUGAUUGUCUGUGGCAUUCAGUGUGCAUGUGCAUGUGUGCAUGCCAUUCUAUUUCAUCCAUGCACUGUUUUGAUGCACUCUUGUGCAACUGGUUAGUGUGCGUAUGCAGUACAAUGAGACAGUGUGCGCAAUUUUGAAUGAACCCAAAGCAUAUUGCUUGAGUGUGUGUAUUCAUGUUGCUGCCUUUAAGUUGCUUAAAGCUAUAAAACUCACACAUACAUGUAAUAUGUUUAUAAUGAAGAACAAGAAAGGUACCCUGUGGGGUAAUCAGUAAGUAAACUGUGAUGCUUCAAAGACUUAUUGACAUUUAUAAUGUACAUAUUGGGGUGUCACCCUGGUCUAAGCACUGCAGUAUGAGCUUACUCUAGCCCAUGUUAGUACACCUAGCAACCACAACCAACUAACUCCAGUGUGGAUAUUAUACUAGAGUGUUCCCUUUCUCAGGCUUCAGGUGAAUGCAGACCAGUGCCACCUGAACUUGAUUUGCCUCCUGAUUAAAGUAGGUCUAUGUAUGGAUGCACAGCACUACAUAAUAUACCUAUUGUGUGACACGUAAACAAUUACAUUUUACAGGGGACAUUUUUUUAAAUAAGGAAAUGACAUAAAUUAAAUAUCUUGAGGUGGAAAUCCUUUAUAAAUUGUCUGUUAUGCUAUCUCUACAAUGUCCCUGGUUUUAACCCUGUUUUAAAUCAGCUGUUUUACUGCUCAUGAGCUGCCCACGCCCUGUUAGGAAGUGUCUCAGUGACAGCAAGUGGCAGCCAGUGGGAGCAGCCCAGGUCAUGUGGGAGCAGACAUGAGACACUCUUUUGCGUGGUCUGUCUGAGGAGCAGUUUUACAUAUAAUUUUGGCCAAAGCACAGCCCUUGACUUUCAGUUACAUGUUGGCAGUUUGUGUCGCGUGGUGUUCAUUUUAGUGCAAAGUAGCAACCUAAAAAUUGCUUGGAGGUGGUAACUGGUUAACACUGUAACCUUUCAAUGUAACAGUGUGUCAAGUGGAUUGAACAAUGCUUUAUAGUCUAUGGUAAUGUAAUUAUAUACAAACAGAAUUCCAAAAAAGUAGAGACGCAAAAUGUAAUUAAAAAGAGAAUGCAUUGAUUUGCAAAAACCCAUAUUUUAGAAGACAUCUCAAAUGUUUAAACUGAGGCAUUUCACUAUUUCCACUUUGCCUCAGUCCAUUUUAAGUGAGGUUUGUCUCUGAAUCAGCCAACACAUAGCUUCAUUGCAUUACAGAGCUUUAACCUGGAUUCGAGGAUGGCACGGUGAACUGUAUUCACAGACAGUGAUUUAUGUAAGUGAUCCAGGCUUUAUUGUUUGCUACAGGGUCCAACCAACAACUGCUGAGAACCACAGGCCAAAACAAGCCACUAUAUAAAAGGAUUCAUCAUGAAAGCAUAGUGUCCUGUUUCCUGUUCCUAUAGUGUGAGAUAGAGGAUAUAGCCCUGGGCAGAGCUUGAUUCCCAAAUAAAGAUAGUUAUGUAUAUUCCAAUGCCACAAGCCCCUGUAAAUCUCAUCACAUUUAAGAUUAGCCGCUGAAACAGAUCUGCUCUUAUCUGAUCAGGGCUGUCUGUGUGCCUGUGUGUGUGUGUGUGUGUGUAAAUUAGAGCUCUGUCAACGAGUGCUUGAACUCAGCUCCUUCAAAAACACUUCAAACCAGUCGAGGAGCACCGCAGCUGUGAUCAAGUAUGUGUGCCUAAAUGUGAGUGUGUAUGUACAGGUCAGAGGUCACAGUCAAGCCUUUUAACACUUUUUCUCUCUGUCGUUGGCUCGCCAGCAGUCCUGACAGUUUAAGGAAAUUCCUUCUCACAUGUAUGAACUCUGCAUGUUCACUUUUUUUAAUGCUGUAGUAUCACUUUGCCCUGCUGAGCUGCGCCCUUAGCAGCACUUUGAUUACAGCACUGGAUGAGGUAAGUGUUUACAAGGAUAAGUGCGACAGCUACCAAGUGACAGACAGGUCAGGCCUUUCACCACUUGGUUUGUUGGUUGCACCAACCGGCUGAUGUAGCGGUUUAAGUGAUAAAAGCUGCUCUCUUCCUUGCUCUGAAUGUCUGGAAAAUCAAAUAUCGCAAAUGUAGCAUCACCAAUUUUCCCUGCUAGGAUGCUUUACAGUUUGUGUGUUAGUGUGUGAAAUAAAGUACUUAGCAAUUUUUAAUACGCCACUUGAGGCUAACUUUUACACUCUACUGCCACCAAGUGGUAGGAGGCUGGACUAUUCUCCUGUUUUCAAUGUUUCUUAUGAUCUGUACCAGUAUUAAAAAAAAAACAUCCACUUCAUAAGAUGAACAUUUUUUAAGCCUAAAUGUGUGAUUUUCUUUAAUCACUAAGAAAAAAAUGUUAAAGGUAAAGUUUAUUUUAAUAAAGGUCAGCUCCUUUGCAUCAGCAAACUUGUGUUUUUAUGUCAUUUUCCUUAAACAAAGUCAUUCAACUUUUUUUCACUUCAUAUUUUUCACUUCUUCCUUUAUUUAGUGGUUAUGGAGUCAAAUUCAGAGGCCAGGUCUAAUUAGUAAUCCCAAGGAAGUAGAACAGGGAUGUCAAAGCAAUUCUGCACCAUGCGCCACUUUUGACCUUAAGUGGGCCAGAUCGGCGAAACCCCCCUGCUUUCAGUGCAAAGAAGUUUAAUCACACAUUUAAUCUGUCAGAGAUCUUAAUAUGAGAUAAAGCGGUUCAGUUUCAACAGUAUACACCAGUUUUUCUACAUGAGAAAGAAAUGCUUCUGUAGUAAACGAAAGAAAUAUCUCAACUAUUUGAGCUUAAAAUGGCAUAAACAAAUGUUUAAAUUUACUGAAAAAGCUAGAGCCAGAUUUGGGUAUCAGAUUGGAGGCCAAAUGUUUGACAUGCCCAAAAUAGAACAAUAAUGGGCUCGUGGCUUAAAUAUCUAAUUAAAAUAUGGAUAUAUUAAAAUGAUUCACAUUUCCCAUCCUGUGCAAGUCAUUCUUGAAGUAGCCUACAUUUUUUAGACUAAUAUAUUACACUUUAUGUCCUCAUAUCACCAAAGAAUGAGUUCAGAUAGAUCCCACCCAACUCCACCUCAUCCCUACCCAGCUGACAAAGAUCCGAGCUUCUCAUACACUCCUGUCUGAUCCUAUACCUGUCUGUCCGCUUCUUUUUUAUUCAAACACACAGUCACGCCUUCCCCAAUGCAGUAUGCCCCCUGGCACUGGCUAGUUCAGACAGACUGGCAGUGUUCUCAGAGAUCUGGAAGAGCAGGUGUACUGCUGUCAACAGAGGGCCUAUGAUCUGAGACAGAUUACACACUCAUGUCUUCACAUAAAAGCCACUAUUAAAAUAUUUUCUCUCUGCAAAGGGAGCUGUGCACUGUACAGCUGAUGCGAAGCAGCUUAGUCAUUCAUUUCACAGAUGCAGAGCUGGCACACCGGCUUUUCCUUCAAACAGUUUUCCAAAAAAAGAGGAUGUUACAGUUUUAUUACUGCUAGGACUGCACACCUUAAACCAACAGGGUGACAUAUUUAUUACGCUUUAUGAUGUUUUUUUAGUGUAGCAUUUCACUCCCUCUCAGCUUCUCUCAUCUGCGCCCAUGAGACCGAGCCGUGUCCAAAUAAAGGCUGCAAAGAGCACCAGCGGCAUUCUUACUGGAUGCUGCUGUACAUUACCCACAGUGCUUUGCCGUGUCUCAUUCCACGGCUGCCAAGACAGUGGCUUUAGGGACUGGAGCUCCAUAUGUUUCUCUCAGGGGUCUUGAGCACCGUGUACUUGGCACGCUCAGAAUAAGCCCAGUGAUCUCCAAUUACCCUCCUCUCACGGAUUGUUUGGUGUCACUUGCCGUCUGCCGGCUGAAUAUGAUGAUUCUGCGCCUACAGUGUAAAAGGAUAGUCGCACAGAUCUCUUGGCAUGCACUGUGCUCCUUACAACUCAAUUGGAGCGGUGACCCAAAGCCAGUCCAAACUAGCCAAUUAUGAAUUUCAAAAGCUCUUCAAGUCACAUGUGUCAAGUCAGUGUUGUACUGUGUUCCCCCUUUUGAGCUUAACACAGUUCUAAUUCUUGUCUUUCCUUUCCUUCACUUCUUGAUGCCUGCUCCAAAUGAUGUCACAGGUUGUGCCAUGAUGAGUUGGCCCAAAAUAAGCCAGCUUGACUAUCAUCACUUCUCCAAUACUUUAGAGAAAUAAUAAACUACAGCAAAUAAUAAAAUACAGCUACCGGCCUUCUUCCUGUUUGAUCGAAACUAAAGCUGCAUCAUACAUCUGACAUUUGGAUGCAGAAGCUGUCGACAUAUCUGAUUAUGGGAAACUCAGACAGGACACAUUCAUCAUUGCUCCAAUGUGAAAAUAGAACGUGAAAUAGACCGGAACAAGCUCGCAUUUUGUGCCAGUGAGAAGGCUUUCAGCUCUGCCACUCCAUCACAUUCUCAUAUGUACUGCUAAGUCCAGUCAAAUAAAACGUUGACUGUACUGAAACACUGUACUGUAAGCAGUCAGGGUGCCCUGGCUGACCUGAUAUGGAUGAAGGUUGCCGUGCGACAUGAUUCCCGGGAAGAUGACUCUACACUGGUGAAAUGAGCGGAAGGAGGAGUUUGGCAAUAAGCAAAAAGGACGAAUUCUGUAUGGAAACACCAUCUGUCCGUCUCUUUGGCUUGGUUCACAUCCUUUUUUUUUUCUAUUGAAAAGCAGAGAUGGACUGAAUGGUGAAAGCUGUUUCCUCCUGGGAACAACAUCCUGAUGCUGUCUGGGUAUGUAAAGCAGAACUCCAGCAUCAGUGAUUUUGUUGCCAAGGGGAGGACUAAGUCAACAGAAAAGCUGUAUGGUGAUAAUAAAAAGUAAAACCAGAAAAAAAGGGGAACAAUGUGCAGAAGCAGUGUCAACAGCUGUGGUAAACAUAUUAUUUAUAGCUGCAAUGAUCCAGCAGAAGCAGCUUUAAUAUUAUUUCCAUCUUUAGGUGAAACAUAUUAUAGCCUACAGCAACUGUUAGCAGCAGUCUAAUAUGUAUAAAGUAGGAAGUGUAUUUCAUAUUAUUAUAUCAGGGUUUGAAUGUAUUUAUUUUUUAUGCCAGGUCUCCAGUUUUCAGUAGGAACGGCUCCUAAAACUGCCUGCUAUUCUGCUUCCAACCUCUAGAGGGAGCGCUAUUCAUUGUUGAAACAAUACUCAUGAGACUGUCGGGGUCUUUCCAAGUAUUUGGCCUUACAAAUGCGUGGAAUAUAUACUCUUAGGACACCAACUCACUGCUAAGGAGACAGGUUUUUUUUUUUAUCUUCAGCAGGUCAGACACAAACUGGACACUUUAUUCUAAUGCAUGAAGUUAUCUUUUGGUCAUGUUGUGUUUUUAUUUGAAACUCCUUUUUCAAGGGAAACACUUUUGUUGGCAAAUAUGCAAAUAUUAAGGUUAAGCUGUAAAUGGUUCUACUUCUGAGAUUUGACUUGCCCUACUUUGUGUGCAUGUCAGCAGUGUAGUGUGUCACAAAAUUACUUCUCAUGCAAAUCUUGGAAAAUGCUGCACUGCUCUUUUUCAGGAGAGAGGAAAGUGAGAGGUACAACCACGUGAAAACACUGUGAUGGUUUGGAGUUGCGUUUUUUGCUUUUUGCCAGUGAUGUUGAGGGUCUUGUUAAAAGUUGUGUAACUGUGAACAUAUAAAAGUACCGUCAGGUUUUGAUCCACUAUUCAAUACUGUAAUACAUCUUAGAAGAGUUUGACUGACAACAGUUUCAUAGUUUCGUUUUUCAACAUGACAGUGGUUGCAAAAACCUUGCCAGUGCAUUAAAGGCGCACCUGGACAAAAAAAUGAAUUGGCAUCCUCAGAGCCUGGACAUCAACAUUAUUCAAGCAUUGUGGGAUCAUCUCGACAGAGGACAGAACAAAAGGCUCUUUAUGUACUGUUUCUCCAUAUAUGUUUGCACAUAAUUCAACAAAUCAUUGCACCCAUUUUCCAUUUCCCUAGGAAAACAUAAAGAAAUGCUUUAUCGUUUUAUUUUAAAGUGUAAAGAAAUGCUGCCAACACACACGUGUUUACAUAUUUUAUGCUGUAACAUCUUUGAGAAUAAUGUAACAGCCACAAAGUAUCACAGAUUUUCUAUAAGUCUACAUGUCACUGUGACAUUCACUCUGCUGCUAUUCUCCAUCAGCAAGGACAGAUGUGUUACAUUAGACGGGAUAAGUUAUUGAUCCCCGUCCUGCACUCUGCUGCCAGGAAUUCUCCCGGAAGAGUGUACUGCACAUCCAACCCCCACCAACUGCUUUUCUGUGCAUCUCUCCAUCUCUUCUCUCUCUCUCUCUCUCUCUCUCGUCUCAGUAUGCUUAGCUUAUCUCUCUUGUUUUUUCCUCGAUAAGGUUCCUGCAAUGCAUUAAAAUCAGGGGACUUACUUGGGCCGACUGAAUGCAAGGUAAGAAAAGACAUGUGCUGGUACUGUGCAUGCCUGCUGCUGCUGCUCAGAGAUUAUGGUGCAACACAUUAUGCAGUGUCAUGAUGCAGCAACGCAUAUAAAUUGAUAAACAGGUUCUUCUCUUUAUUUUUACAGAGUUAAAACAUUUCGGGGGUGGAGCCGCACUGGUGAUUUCAUUGGAUAGUUUAAACUUGCUUUCUAAGAGGAAAUGCACUAACAAAGGAAUAAGGAAAAGGUAUCAUUUGCUUUUUAAUAAUGCCUUGGAGUCUGUGUAGUAAUUGGAGACACUAAGGGUGUAAUGUGCAGUGUUUUCCUUUUCUUACUUGUAGACCUUUGAGGUAUCUGUUCAUGGUUUGGCUGGUUGGAAGUUUUAUAAUCUUAUCCCGAGUCUGUCCACCUGUUACACAGUGAGGUGUUAAUUUACCCGAAACAGGGCAGAUUACAGGCUUUACGGCCUGCUGCAUACGUGUGUGUGCGACCAUGAGAGUGUGUGUGUGUCUUUUCACAUCGUUUACGUCACAGCUGCUGUGAGUCAGCUCCUCUCUUCCUUUCCUGAGUCACUCAUCCAGUGGUUGCUUGGUUACUGCAGAGCGGUGAAAGUUUCCUAUUGCGUCUUUGUCUCCGUGGACGGAUGGGCUUCGAUAUUUAUUCAGGCUCAGGAGUGAGUGUUCAAAUAAUGUACGUGUUUGUGUGCAUGCGUGCAUCUGCGGUCGCUGCUUCAGCCAACGGGCAAAGGCUGACAAAUCAGUUUCAGCACAUCCUGUUAUUGAGAGACACUGAAUGGAUGUCUGGGUACCGCAACUGAACCCUUAAUAAGCUGACACUGCCAAGGAAUUGUAUUUAGAGGAGACACAAAAGAGAAUCCUAAUUAGAAAAAGCAUGCAUGUCAUUUUUAGUCAUAUUUUUAAAAUUGCGACAGGUUCCAUUCUCACACCAUCAACAUCCAAAUGUUUUUGGCCAGGCGAUAAAAAGUCCAUUUCAAUAUUUAAGCUACUGGAGCACAAUUUUUAAAAGGCAAUUUGAGCCUGAGCACUGACUACUUAAUUUUAACUGGCAUGUGCCAUCAACACCGUUAGCUGGUAGGUGAUGAAACUGUGGAGAUUGGUGACAUAUUAAAGGAAAGCCCAAUAUUAAGUGUGCCAGCAUGACCCCCAGAACAGCCUCAUUGUUCCUUGCAAUUGAUUUUCUUUGUUUCUCGAACUAUUCAGGAACGACAGUGCGCCAUUCUUUAAAAAAAAAAAAGAAAGAAAAAGAAGCCACCAGUCUCUCAAGUGAGAUCUUGGGUUGAGAUCUGAUGACUUCAAACAUGUUAUUCACAUAAUUUUCAGACUCUUCCUUUGUUACAUGCCUCUCCAACCCUACUGGACUGCAGUGACGGUCCAAUGCUGUUAUAUGGACUUAUUUGGUGGUGUAAAUAAAGGCAUGCGUGUUGUAGCUUGGUCCUCACACUACUUCUUUCUUCCCAUCUUUAUUCUGUCAUGACUGCAGAAUCAAAUCUUUGGUCAUGCUGCAUGAAUUGGGGGGGGGGGCUUCCUUGCAAAAAUAUUUGCAAGGGUGAAACUUCUGUAUUUAAAUCAAUGCACCACCCCAAGUAGGUGCUAUGCAGGAGUGUAAAGUUUUCUAAUAGGAUAGAAAUAUUACAUCAUAGGAUAAAGGUAAAUCACUUUAUGAUGAUUUGCAGUGGCCCCUCCCUCUAAUACUCCAAGUAGAACUCAAACAUGGCCUCAGAACACAACAAAGUGGUUUAACUCCCUCGCUUAGGGAGUCACAAGUUCAAGAUUCUUUCUUUCAUUAGUCACAUGUCUGGAUUUUUAAUAGUGUAUGCUAAAUGUACAAAAUAUAAUAAAUUGCUCCACUCCAAACUACCAUUUCACUAUAUGCUUUUUAAGAUUCUCAAGGUAAAUAAAUACAUUCUUAGGUAAAUAAACCUGUAAAUAAGUGGAACAAACAUUGGUACUCUGUUGCUGAUAAAAUCAGUUUGGCUACAAGAAUUUACAAAAUGAGCAAACAGUAAAAUUAUAUUCUAUAUAGAUUGGUUUUUUUUAAUUAUAACUAUAACAUAGUGAGUGUAUUGGCCUACAUAAUGAAUUUUAUUUUAUUAUAACUUGUAUUAUCUCUGUAUUCAUUGAAGUAUUUGCCAAUCUGUGAAUAUGCUGAGAGCACAAACAUCACCACGACAACAGCAAGGCAAGAAACACAUGUAGGUGGUCAGACAUUAGGUUAGUGCGUUAAUUAGUUUGAGGUGAAGCUGUUUGAGUCAUUGUGAAUCAUUCAUACAGGGAUGAAGAGCUUCAUUUGUGGAUGUCCUCAGGUCAGAUGAUACAGGAUGACGAGGAGGGACUACCAGUCACCUGCUUCAGCUUUCAAAGAUGCUGCUCAACCUGUAAACCGUAGAGGAGCACUGACUCCAGAUCAACCUUGGUAACAGCAUCAUCAUCCUUCUCCCUCUGUCGCCAGCGCCGACGGAUCAAGCAACUAGCGUUUGCUUUGCUUGAUCUUUUUGGUACAGAUUCCCCACUUGGAGAAGACUUAGUUUAAAUGUGUGGGACACAGUUUUAACACAAAGAAUUUAAAUAUGGCCGCCCGCCAAGAUCACCACAAUAAGUUUAUCAGUUUCAGCGAUGACUGUAUGCCAGCACAACUUUUUAGUGACAUUUACUCCUUGCAGAAUUGCAAUACUUUUCUUGGGAAUAGUGAUUGUCUUAUCAGUGACAACAACAAUACGACAGCUAUGAAAAGCUCCACUGCCCAAUGCCCCUUCUGUCCGAACACUAACUCUGAGAAUGACCAGAGGGAAAAUGUUGACAGAGACUAUUUAAAUACUGCCAACCAAAGAAGACUUCCAACAUCCUCUCAAAACUACAAUCAUCCAGGAGAAUCAUGCGGACGGGACAGGAAAGUGAAAAUAAGGAAGAGUGUGUCAUUUGAUGAUGAUGUCAUUGUCUACCUGUUUGAUCAGGUACUGAUUUCCUGUUCUACUUUAACCUUUAUUUUAAUGCAUUUUUAGGCUUUUUAUCUUUUUGUAGCUAAUAAUGUGUUUAUUAAAUGUUUUUAACAGGACUGUUUCAACCAUGUUACUGAAUACUGAAUACUUCCUGUUUAUUCUUAGGAGAGUCCAACUCUGGACAUGCACUUUGAGUCUUACACGUCUCUGAUGAGCAGCUAUUCCUCCAACCUGCCAGGCGUCACAUUAGAAGAUAAUGCCUUCGAAUGGGAGGAUGACUUCUCGGCUUUGGAGAAGAGCUGCCAUUUUCAGUAUGACGGGCACUCUCAUCCCUGCAGCCUACUGCAGACACAUAACCGGACUGCCCAGUCCAGACCAGAGAAUGGCUGUCUACCCCAAACCUGCCUUUUCCUCACCUAUGUCACUGAGUCCGACCUCGAGUGAGAUAAGGAGAGCCAGCCUUGGCCUAAUGGAAAAACUGACUAAUCGUCCAGAUCUCUCCUCUUCACCCUAACUCAUCUCCUACCCGCCCUCCCCCUUUUAUGAUGAGUCAGGGAUUUUAAUAGCUUUUUUUUCACUCCGUCUUUGCUCCAAAUAGAUUCAGCGCACUUGCCAUUCAUGACAUCACAGCCGAGCAGGACUCUCUGACAGCGCAUUCAGUUUUCACAGUUGUUGGUAUGACAAGAUUACUGCCCAUGAUGUCAAAUAACGGUAAAUAAGAGUUGCAUAAGAGUGCUGGUGCCUUUCCAGCUGCAAACUGCUUUGGAAGCUACUCUUUAUGCCAGGUUGCGUCCUUUGACUCGAUGUAGGAAACAGAAACAGAAACUUACGUGUGUUUAACAAACUCCUGUGUGCUUCUGCAGUCGCGCUUUAUCUUUAAAUUGCUGUAGUUUUCAGGCUAAUGUUGGUGUUGAAGAAAAUAUGUUGUUUAUACGGUUUGUUUUGCUCAAACAGAGCAUGCUUGCGGGGGCCCUGUUUGCUUGCCUCAUUACUGAAGUGUGUUGAGCUCAGAACAUAUCAGCGGCUGUGGUAAAAUAAACAGUGUAAGCCUUAGGGCCAAUGGAGGCAGAAACUGUGCACACUAAAGCGCAAAGAUAAUAUUUCCACAGAGGCAACUUCAGCAAGGUUUGGUUGAUUAGAUACAAUGUAGCUGAGGAGGGAAGGAAACCUGGCAGGACCUGUCUUACUGUUCACAAACACACACACACACACACACACACACACACACACACACACACACACACACACACACACACACACACUCUUUAGAAGAUAUCAAAAUAAAUCCCAUUCAUUUAUUAGAGACUUAUAGUAACCUUAAGCCAAGCGUCCUCCUAAAUAUCCUCUAAUGAUUGACAUUAUGUGGACUUUUGGGGCUUUUGUCCUUAUAUGUGAGGCGAGUCCCCACUGUGUGACUGUGUAAACAGGUUUAUGUUCCCACAACACGAGUAAUAGAAGUACACACACACACACACAAACGCACACAAGCUGCUCAAGGGCAUCAAACGCUGGAAGUGUUUGCUUCUAAAAGCUGGGAGCUUCACACCUGUAACGUUGCUGUGUCUGUGACAUCCCAACACUGUGCUAAUGUUGUUAAUGCUCAGACUAAGAGGUUUGGAGAAAAAGUUAGAGAGGUGAGGCUGAGAUGGUUUGGGCAUGUGCAGAGGAAAGAUUGGGCCAAAGAUGUUGAAGAUGAAGCUCCCAGGCAGGAGGAAAGGAGGAAGACCUCAGAGAAGAUUCAUGGAUGGAGCAAAGGAAGACAAGUAGUGGGUUGAAGUGACCAAGGUGGAUGAUAGAAAUAGAGUGAGAUAGAGGCUGAUAAUCCACUGUGACCCCUAAAGGGAGUAACUAAAAUAAUAAGAAAUCCAUUAGCCAUUAAAUUGUUGAAUAGAAAAAAUGUAGUGGCCAACUGCCAUGAAGCAGUGUGGUUUCUGUGUAUAGACAUGAGAUUUUGUAUGUUUUCUAGAGAUUUGUUUCGUCACAAACAGCAACACCAUUGUUUAGGUCUUGUGAGUGUGUAGGCCAUAUAGUAAGAAUAAGCACACAAAGCUAUGAACGCAUAACUGGUUCAUAGUGUCCAGAUCUGAAAAGUGAGGCCAAUGUGGAUGUGUCUUAACCUCCCAAGACCCGAACUCUUCCACGGCACACAUUUUUAAUUUCUCUUUGAUAUUUGGGCUGA